UUUACCUACGGGGGGCAGCAGUAGGGAAUCUUCCACAAUGGGCGAAAGCCUGAUGGAGCAAUGCCGCGUGAACGAGGAAGGUCUUCGGAUCGUAAAGUUCUGUUGAAGGGGAAAAAGAGCGGAGAGAGGAAAUGGUCUCCGAUUGAUAUUACCCUUCGAGGAAGUCACGGCUAACUACGUGCCAGCAGCCGCGGUAAUACGUAGGUGGCGAGCGUUAUCCGGAAUGAUUGGGCGUAAAGGGUGCGUAGGCGGCCUGCUAAGUCUGGAGUGAAAGGUACCGGCUCAACCGGUACAGGCUCUGGAAA
rnacentral:rRNA from 1 species